UGCUCUCGGGUGACGAGUGGCGGACGGGUGAGUAAUGUCUGGGAAACUGCCUGAUGGAGGGGGAUAACUACUGGAAACGGUAGCUAAUACCGCAUAACGUCGCAAGACCAAAGAGGGGGACCUUCGGGCCUCUUGCCAUCAGAUGUGCCCAGAUGGGAUUAGCUAGUAGGUGGGGUAACGGCUCACCUAGGCGACGAUCCCUAGCUGGUCUGAGAGGAUGACCAGCCACACUGGAACUGAGACACGGUCCAGACUCCUACGGGAGGCAGCAGUGGGGAAUAUUGCACAAUGGGCGCAAGCCUGUUGCAGCCAUGCCGCGUGUAUGAAGAAGGCCUUCGGGUUGUAAAGUACUUUCAGCGGGGAGGAAGGUGUUGCGGUUAAUAACCGCAGCAAUUGACGUUACCCGCAGAAGAAGCACCGGCUAACUCCGUGCCAGCAGCCGCGGUAAUACGGAGGGUGCAAGCGUUAAUCGGAAUUACUGGGCGUAAAGCGCACGCAGGCGGUCUGUCAAGUCGGAUGUGAAAUCCCCGGGCUCAACCUGGGAACUGCAUUCGAAACUGGCAGGCUAGAGUCUUGUAGAGGGGGGUAGAAUUCCAGGUGUAGCGGUGAAAUGCGUAG
rnacentral:rRNA from 1 species